rnacentral:tRNA from 1 species
GCAGAAGUACCCAAGUGGCUAUAAGGGGCUCCCCUGCUAAGGGAGUAGACUGGGUUGACCGGUGCGUGGGUUCAAAUCCCACCUUCUGCGCCA